CACUGAUUUAAGAGCUUCCUUGCAGUUUACUGUCGCAAACACAUGCAGCAUUGACAGAAAACAGUGCAGAACAACCAGUUCAGGAGUAACAGGCUCUUUUCGAGAAUAUUUUGCUGCAAGAUUUUAAAGGAUUCUACAAAGAAAAGAAGAGUGUCUUUAUUUCCAUUUGUGGAAGAAUAAUAUGAGGCAUAUGAAGAAAACCGUAAUAGGAGUUGCUCAGACACCUGGAGCCAUCACCUGAAGUCAUUCAGCACUCCCUCUGCUCUGCCACACACCCCUGAGGCCAGUCCCUGCUGCCACGCUUUGGAAAGCACUCAACAGCUUACACUUAUUCAAAUGAAGUCUGUGUUGUCUUUCCACAUCAGCCAGGAGAAGGUAUUUCAACUGGUAUUCUGCA
ensembl:lncRNA